GACGAACCGUGCGAACGUUGUUCGGAAUCACUGGGCUUAAAGGGCGCGUAGGCGGGUCUUCAAGUUUGGGGGGAAAUCCUCCGGCUCAACCGGAGAACUGCCUCGAAUACUGAAGGUCUCGAGGGGGAUAGGGGCAUGCGGAACUACGGGUGGAGCGGUGAAAUGCGUUGAUAUCCGUAGGAACUCCGGAGGCGAAGGCGGCGUGCUGGAUCCCUUCUGACGCUGAGGCGCGAAAGCCAGGGGAGCAAACGGG
rnacentral:rRNA from 1 species